rnacentral:rRNA from 1 species
GACGAACGCUGGCGGCGUGCCUAAUACAUGCAAGUAGAACGCAGUUGCGAACGGGUGAGUAACGCGUAGGUAACUGCCUCAUAGCGGGGGAUAACUAUUGGAAACGAUAGCUAAUACCGCAUACUGUGAGAUGGACCUGCGUUGUAUUAGCUAGUUGGUGAGGUAAAGGGCCACCAAGGCGACGAUUCAUAGCCGGCCUGGGAGGGUGAUAGGCCACACUGGGAAUGGGACACGGGCCAGGCUCCUACGGGAGGGAAGAGGAGGGGAUCUUCGGCAAUGGGCGGAAAUCUGACCGAGCAACGCCGCGUGGGUGGAGAAAGUUUUCGGAUCGUAAAGCUCUGUUGUUAGAGAAGCGGUAACUAAACAGAAAGGGACGGCUAACUACGUGCCAGCCGCCGCGGUAAUUC